GAGAGUUAAACAGUACGUGAAAUUGUUGAAAGGGAAACGAUUGAAGUCAGUCAUACCAACGGGAAAUCAACCUUUUGAGCUCGGUCUCGUGGGUUUUGAAGAGUUUCAAAGCCUUCGGAUUCGCGGGAUUGGGAUCUCUUGGCGUACUUUUUCGUACGGUUAGUCAACAUCGGUUUUGAAUGUCAUAAAAUGACUGGAGGAAUGUAGCUUCGAUCUCGUAUUGAAGUGUUAUAGCCUUUGGUAGAUGUGAUGUUUGAGACCGAGGAUUGCAACGGAUACCCUUCAGGGCUAUUCGUCUGAUCUCUGAUACGUUGCCCUGAUGUUGAAAGCUUGCUUAUGAUGUUAGGGUAUUACGGUCAAAAGGUUAGAACGAAUUACAUUCGUUAAGGAUGUUGACGUAAUGACUUUAAACGA
rnacentral:rRNA from 1 species